UGGGAAGUCCUUCUUGAUGUCUAACUUCAGUACCUUUCACUAGCCUUUGGGGAACAGCUCUGACUUUGGGUGCUUUAGCACCCAAGUCUUAUCUGUCUCAGGUUCCUGACUCAGUACUUUAGGCACUUUACAGAUGCAGCUUCUU
ensembl:miRNA